UGGGGAAUAUUGCACAAUGGGCGCAAGCCUGAUGCAGCCAUGCCGUGUGUAUGAAGAAGGCCUUCGGGUUGUAAAGUACUUUCAGUCGGGAGGAAGGUGGUAAGGUUAAUAACCUUAUCAAUUGACGUUACUGACAGAAGAAGCACCGGCUAACUCCGUGCCAGCAGCCGUGGUAAUUCGGAGGGUGCAAGCGUUAAUCGGAAUUACUGGGCGUAAAGCGUACGCAGGCGGUUGAUUGAGUCAGAUGUGAAAUCCCCGGGCUUAACCCGGGAGAUGCAUCUGAUACUGUGCGGAUAGAGUCUUGUAGAGGGGGGUAGAAUUCCAUGUGUGGCGGUGAAAUGCGUAGAGAUGUGGAGGAGUACCGGAGGCGAAGACGGCACCCGGGGCGAAGACUGACGCUCAGGUGCGAAAGAGUGGGGAGCAAACAGG
rnacentral:rRNA from 1 species